AAAAAAUUGGAAAAUUUACUAAGUAAAUAGUCGGAUGAAAAAAUUGAUUUAGGGAGAAACAUUUGUACAAUGAUAUUUCUGUGCAUUUCUGAUAUUUUUUUAUAAAAAAUAAAAGAUGUGUCCGAAUAUCUUUUACUGAUAGUAACAAACUAGUUCCAUUUGCAAAUUCUG